rnacentral:tRNA from 1 species
AUUUAUUUAAUAUAAAAAGUAUAGUUGACUUCCAAUCAAAAUGUCUAAAUAUUUAGGAUAAAUA